rnacentral:rRNA from 1 species
GAUGAACGCUGGCGGCGUGCCUAAUACAUGCAAGUCGAGCGAACAGACGAGGAACUUGCUCCUCUGACGUUAGCGGCGGACGGGUGAGUAACACGUGGAUAACCUACCUAUAAGACUGGGAUAACUUCGGGAAACCGGAGCUAAUACCGGAUAAUAUAUUGAACCGCAUGGUUCAAUAGUGAAAGACGGUUUUGCUGUCACUUAUAGAUGGAUCCGCGCCGCAUUAGCUAGUUGAUAAGGUAACGGCUUACCAAGGCGACGAUGCGUAGCCGACCUGAGAGGGUGAUCGGCCACACUGGAACUGAGACACGGUCCAGACUCCUACGGGAGGCAGCAGUAGGGAAUCUUCCGCAAUGGGCGAAAGCUUGACGGAGCAACGCCGCGUGAGUGAUGAAGGUCUUCGGAUCGUAAAACUCUGUUAUUAGGGAAGAACAAAUGUGUAAGUAACUAUGCACGUCUUGACGGUACCUAAUCAGAAAGCCACGGCUAACUACGUG